CCGGCCACCCGGGCCCGGCUUUUCUCUCUCGCUGAAGUUACGCCCCCCGUUCUCGGGAUCCCCGACGCGGCGUUUCUUCGCCUUCCACCGCCGCGGGGUAGCGCCCUGGAGACGGGCGUCCCCGCCCCGGACUCAGAAAAUACUUCACCAGACGAAGAGAUGAGAGUCUAGAGGGACGUGUGCUAAUAUAUAAUUAUCAUGGCCUAAAUACUGCUUAUGUCUAAGAAUUUAAAAACCAGCAAAAGAAGAAUAACUGUUAAUGCCAAAGAUUGGGGGAGAACAAGAAGAAUGUUAAUAGAAUAUCAGGUCUUCUGAAUGAUGUUUCUCAAAGUAUUAUCCAUGAACCAUCUGCAUCCACAUUUUUUGAUGUUCCAGUCAAAAGUUCAGAUUCCUGACUCCAAUCACAGUCUUACUGGAUUGGAAUCUCACAGGAUCAGGCCCAGAAAUGGGACUUUUUAUAUCCACAGUUAAUUUGUUGAAGAAAAAACAAAAACAGCAGCAUGUAUUUGGUGCCUGUUAUCUCACAGAACCCCUGCAUGGAGCUGGAGAUACAGAAGUCUGUAUUCCUCUGUCCUAUCUCAGCCUAAGAAAUAAUCUGUCGGGCCGGUAGAGUGGGACUUCCACGGUGGCACAGCGGGUUGAGGGCAGCACUGUGAAGCUAUCCAAAGCCUCUGCAGCACGGGUUCGAUUCUCUGCAGGCCAGGGAGAUACCCACAUGGCACAGCAGACCUCUUCUGCCUCGCCCACAGCCCCCCUCAGCAGUGUCUUUGGUCCGUCUGCCUGUUCUGCUCCCUACUCUGUCUCUGGUGAAUCCUCUCACCUUCCCACACCUCUGGCCUGUA